AGCAGCCGCGGUAAUUCCAGCUCCAAUAGCGUAUAUUAAAGUUGUUGCAGUUAAAAAGCUCGUAGUUGAAUUUCGGGGUCAGUAAGUUGGUCGUGCCACUGGUAUGUACUGGCUUUACUUCGAUUCCCUCCUUCUUGUAGAACCGUAAUGCCAUUAAGUUGGUGUUGCGGGAAAACAGGACUGUUACUUUGAAAAAAUUAGAGUGUUUAAAGCAAGCUAACGCUUGAAUACAUUAGCAUGGAAUAAUGAAAUAGGACGAACGAUCCUAUUUUGUUGGUUUCUAGGAUUGACGUAAUGAUUAAUAGGGAUAGUUGGGGGCAUUAGUAUUCAAUUGUCGGAGGUGAAAUUCUUGGAUUUAUUGAAGACUAACUACUGCGAAAGCAUUUGCCAAGGAUGUUUUCAUUAAUCAAGAACGAAAGUUAGGGGAUCGAAGACGAUCAGAUACCGUCGUAGUCUUAACCAUAAACUAUGCCGACUAGGGAUCGGAUGAUGUUAAUUUUUUAAUGACUCAUUCGGCGCC
rnacentral:rRNA from 1 species